rnacentral:rRNA from 1 species
GGGCCCGCACAAGCGGAGGAACAUGUGGUUUAAUUCGAUGAUACGCGAGGAACCUUACCCGGGCUUGAAUUGCAGACGAAUGAUGUGGAAACAUGUCAGCCAGCAAUGGCGUCUGUGAAGGUGCUGCAUGGUUGUCGUCAGCUCGUGCCGUGAGGUGUCGGCUUAAGUGCCAUAACGAGCGCAACCCUCAUCAUUAGUUACUAACAGGUCAUGCUGAGGACUCUAAUGAGACUGCCGGCGUAAGCUGUGAGGAAGGUGGGGAUGACGUCAAAUCAGCACGCCCCUUACGUCCGGGGCGACACACGUGUUACAAUGGGGGGGACAGCAGGCAGCGAAGUGGUGACACCGAGCGAAUCCUCAAACCCUCUCUCAGUUCGGAUCGAAGUCUGCAACCCGACUUCGUGAAGCUGGAUUCGCUAGUAAUCGCGCAUCAGCCAUGGCGCGGUGAAUACGUUCCCGGGCCUU